AUGCCAUUGUCACCACCUUCAACCUCCAAGAUCCGGCUCAGGAAUCCAGGGGACCAGGAAUUCUGCUUUCUACAGGAGUACGAGGACAAGGACUGUCCGGUGCUGCUGCAACACCAAGAAGGGCAAGAGAAGGAUCUAACCAGCUGUUCCCAGCAACACGUCGACAAACCCUCCAAGAUGCUUGAUUGUUGCAGACGGUUUCUCGAAAUGAAAGACUGUCCACGCCUUUGCUUUUCCUGCGGCACCAAAGGUCACGUUCCCCGCGAUUGCUCUCUCCCGUCACAGCAGCCCUUGCCGGCAAUGCCUCACCGCACGCUGGUUGGCCGUGCUUCAAUGCAACACCGAGUCCCUUUUGAAAGGCGUCCGGUUGCUACAACAACAAGUAUCAACAAAGAUCUGUUUAUCAUCUGCCAAGCUGGCUCACAACUAGUCAUGUACCAUACAGGCGUCAUGGAUGAGACUUCACUGUUGCAAGGAGGAGGAGACGAUGGCAAGCCCCUCCAACCGUCGUUUUAUGUUGCAGAAUAUGUUGGUGAUGGUGACUAUUGGCACUUUUUCCUUCACAGUGGCUCAAAAAUACGCGCCGUUUCGAGGAAACAAGAUGGCAUGCUUGAGUUUAGUCUGAACAAGGACCGUACGAUGGCUACGGAUCGUCUAUCUGUACGGCAGCUGCCAAGUGCUGAUAUUUUUGUUUUGUUUAUCACAGUUGGUGGAGAGACCAUUGCCCUUACUGAUACUCUGAAAGUUUUCCAUCAGACAAGGUUCAGUUAUGGAUCCACCACGCGGCUGCGUUGCAAGACAGAUCAGUCGCAUGUUCUCCACAGGAAGGUUAUGAUAUCUGGAUAUGUAGCAGUGAAUGACGACUCCUUUAUAGUCUGUGAUGCUCUCACAGGUUCCUGUCUUUUGCUUGACCUGGGUGCCAAGCAAUGGCGUGUUGUCAUGCCUUGGGCCGCAUUCGCAGAGGACCUGCCAAGGACUAGCCCUACAAAGUGCCCUUUAAAUGGUAGAUGUGUGUCUGUCGAUGGCUUUAUCUACACAUGCAGAGAUGGAGGGCUUGCUGCUUAUCGGCUGCUUGAUAAAGAUCAUUCUGUGUAUCUCAGCCAGCCCAUCCUUUUGCCAUUCUCAUGGCUUGUGGAUGAUUAA
rnacentral:rRNA from 1 species